AUUGAACGCUGGCGGCAGGCUUAACACAUGCAAGUCGAGCGGAGAGAGGUAGCUUGCUACUGAUCUUAGCGGCGGACGGGUGAGUAAUGCUUAGGAAUCUGCCUAUUAGUGGGGGACAACAUUUCGAAAGGAAUGCUAAUACCGCAUACGUCCUACGGGAGAAAGCAGGGGAUCUUCGGACCUUGCGCUAAUAGAUGAGCCUAAGUCGGAUUAGCUAGUUGGUGGGGUAAAGGCCUACCAAGGCGACGAUCUGUAGCGGGUCUGAGAGGAUGAUCCGCCACACUGGGACUGAGACACGGCCCAGACUCCUACGGGAGGCAGCAGUGGGGAACAUUGGACAAUGGGCGGAAGCCUGAUCCAGCCAUGCCGCGUGUGUGAAGAAGGCCUUAUGGUUGUAAAGCACUUUAAGCGAGGAGGAGGCUACUUUAGUUAAUACCUAGAGAUAGUGGACGUUACUCGCAGAAUAAGCACCGGCUAACUCUGUGCCAGCCGCCGCAGUAAUAC
rnacentral:rRNA from 1 species